GCCUGGGUGGCUCAGUAAGUUAAGCAUCUGACUUUAGCUCAGGUCAUGAUCUGGCAGUUUGUGAGUUCAAGCCCCACAUCAGGCU
rfam:Felis catus isolate Cinnamon breed Abyssinian chromosome A2, whole genome shotgun sequence.